AUUAAACGCUGGCGGCAUGCCUUACACAUGCAAGUCGAACGGCAGCACGGGGGCAACCCUGGUGGCGAGUGGCGGACGGGUGAGUAAUACAUCGGAACGUGCCCUGGAGUGGGGGAUAACGUAGCGAAAGUUACGCUAAUACCGCAUAUUCUGUGAGCAGGAAAGCAGGGGAUCGCAAGACCUUGCGCUCUGGGAGCGGCCGAUGUCGGAUUAGCUAGUUGGUGGGGUAAAGGCCUACCAAGGCGACGAUCCGUAGCGGGUCUGAGAGGAUGAUCCGCCACACUGGGACUGAGACACGGCCCAGACUCCUACGGGAGGCAGCAGUGGGGAAUUUUGGACAAUGGGCGGAAGCCUGAUCCAGCCAUGCCGCGUGAGUGAAGAAGGCCUUCGGGUUGUAAAGCUCUUUCGGCGGGGAAGAAAUUGCUUGGGUUAAUACCCUGAGUAGAUGACGGUACCCGAAUAAGAAGCACCGGCU
rnacentral:rRNA from 1 species